ACGCACGCUGGCGGCGUGCCUAAUCCCUGCAAGUCGCACGCUUCUUUCCUCCCGAGUGCUUGCACUCAAUUGGAAAGAGGAGUGGCGGACGGGUGAGUAACACGUGGGUAACCUACCCAUCAGAGGGGGAUAACACUUGGAAACAGGUGCUAAUACCGCAUAACAGUUUAUGCCGCAUGGCAUAAGAGUGAAAGGCGCUUUCGGGUGUCGUUGAUGGAUGGACCCGCGGUGCAUUAGCUAGUUGGUGAGGUAACGGCUCACCAAGGCCACGAUGCAUAGCCGACCUGAGAGGGUGAUCGGCCACACUGGGACUGAGACACGGCCCAGACUCCUACGGGAGGCAGCAGUAGGGAAUCUUCGGCAAUGGACGAAAGUCUGACCGAGCAACGCCGCGUGAGUGAAGAAGGUUUUCGGAUCGUAAAACUCUGUUGUUAGAGAAGAACAAGGACGUUAGUAACUGAACGUCCCCUGACGGUAUCUAACCAGAAAGCCACGGCUAACUACGUG
rnacentral:rRNA from 1 species